CUUAACUGGCCAAGCAGAGGGUCAUCGCAUGGCUUUUAUGAGGCGUCGCUAGCCAUUAUACAGUACGCCGCCAAUGACAAACGACUUGGCGGAUGGGCGGGAUGGCUGCAACGGCUGCUGGCGGUAGCUGCCGGGACACGUGGGCAGUCGCAAAGGUGCAACGAGAAAGCGCAUGAUUUGUACCGAGGGUUCCCGAAAUUCCCUGCCGCCGUGGCGCUGUACGUUUUGCAAGGGGUCUAUUCUUCCGCUCUUCGCCUCUCCGGUUUUACCUUGCAAAGUCGUGACAGUGUCUGCUUUAUUUUUUUGCGGUAUUUCCCGUGUGUCGACGUGUGCAAUAUUUCCCGUGUGCCGACAUAUUUUUUAAACUGACGUUCGCUCAAGUGAGCGUUUACUGUAUACUUGACUACUGUGCGUUGCCCCAGAGCCUUAAAUGUAGAGAGUUUGGCCAUUCAUUGGGAAGUAUAGGAGACAAAUGAGGAGGCGCCAUUGGCCGAAAGCGGACUGGGCGUGUUCCAGGGCGUCUUCAGAAAUUUGAAUGUGACCAACCAGAACCCGGAAAUAAUACCCUGGCGGUGGUCGCAAGAAACAAACCUGAUAACUGCAUUGGAGUAACUCUCAAUGGCUGAAAAUAUGGUACACGUGAUGUUUCAAUCACGUUAAUCCAAAAAGAUGGUGUAAGAGUGCGACUAGCGGAACGAUCGACAUAAUCCUUACGCCAAGCACCCAGGGCCGGGAAUCUGCCGUCCGAACGGUCACACUCUGUCCGCGCAAAACAGAGUUUCGCGGCGCAUUCGUUUCUUACAUCUUUCUGCAUGAUCAUGAUCAAAACAACACGUGCACCCUAUUUUCAACCACGAAGAGUUACUACACUUCACUUUUACGCGCUUAUUAAAACCAUAUACGAACAUAGACUUUUGAUCAGAACUGUUCGCCGCUACCACCGCUAGGGGAUUCUUUUCGGCUUCUGGUUGGUCAAGAGACCAUGCCAAGCCCUCUUUCCGACUCUGCCGCACGCCCUGACUCUGCCAGCGCCUCCCAUUGACCAAACUCUCUACAUGUACGGCUUUGCGUUGCCCUACAUGUUCGGAUAACAUACUGUUUCUGUUCACCCGGUAAGCACUUUCAUUCUCUACAUAUACCGUAGGUUGAAAAUGCCCUGAAUCAUAGAUCAGGCCUUGCAAGAUGGAACUUCUCUUUAGGCCCAGUGCCUGGAUCAAGUCUUGUCCCCCAUCCCCUCAGGUCUUUCUGUCAUAUAAAUUGUUGGUAUUUCUUAAGACAGCGCGCAUUGCCUGCCGACCACAUCUUACAGUCGAAUCUUGUUAGUUUGAACCCGAGGGGGACCAAAACAUUGUAUGAGUUUAAAUUGCCGGAAGUUUCCUUUCUAGAAACAUAUAGGAUGGGACCUGCAUGUUAGCUUGAAUUAUUUGCGAGUUUGAAUUAAGAGGGCUUGAACUAAUGAGAUUCCACUGUACAAAGAGUGUGGUUAAUCCAAGGUUCAGAUUACUCUGAAAUAUGUCGGGUGAUUACUGAAAGGUUAAGAUACAAAAAUUUUGGUAGAAAGGAAAUGAAUCUCCUCAGUUUUUAAUUUUUCUCGCCACUAUGUCUGAAGUUUUUCAGAAGAUCAUGGCAUCGGUUUUCACCCAUUUACACUUGGAAAGAAAUGCUACCGGCAAUAAGGGCUACGAAGUUUUCUUUGUGUUUGAAGUUAUGUACGCUAGUGUGUAUCACUUGUUUCUCUUGUGCUACCUUUGCGCAAGCUUGCCGGCGUGCUUGCCCGGCAAGUGAGUAAGAGCUAAACUCAACUGGACGUGGUGUGCUAUCUUUUACACGAACUCGGUAUUCCUAUAGACCUUUUCAUCUCGGCAGUUACCUGACUGGUGGACACAGGGCAUUGACACACAUGGUGCCAUAGAAUGGCUUUAGUUUGGAUGGAUUUUGGUUUCAGCGGGCUCGCGGCUUUGUUAUGUGCGAUAAGAGACAAACCCGCCAAUCAAAGUCUUGUCUUCUAGUAUAUAAUUUGUGAAAUAAAAUUAAAUCGUGCAAGAGAAUUGGGCCUCCAGCAAGCUUGGCUCAGUCAAAUGCCAGGUACCCCUUCAUGGAUUUGUGUAGACAGAUGUUAUUUGUUUGAACAUGUACUAAUGAUUCAAAGCUAUCAAUAAAUUGACUAUCAAUACUAUUGAUAGUUUUGCACCACUA